rnacentral:rRNA from 1 species
AGGACGAACGCUGGCGGCGUGCUUAACACAUGCAAGUCGGAGGGGGCCAGCAAUGGUCACCGGCGAACGGGUGCGUAACACGUGAGCAACCUGCCGCAGAGUGGGGGAUAGCCGGCCCAACGGCCGGGUAAUACCGCAUACGAUCUCCGUGGGGGAGUCCCUGGGAGAUGAAAGAUUUAUCGCUCUGCGAGGGGCUCGCGGCCUAUCAGCUAGUUGGCGAGGUAACGGCUCACCAAGGCGACGACGGUAGCUGGUCUGAGAGGAUGGCCAGCCACAUUGGGACUGCGACACGGCCCAGACUCCUACGGGAGGCAGCAGUGGGGAAUAUUGCGCAAUGGGCGAAAGCCUGACGCAGCGACGCCGCGGUGGGGAGGAAGGUUUUCGGAUACGUAAACCCUGUUGCGUCGGACGAAUCCUUGCUUUGCAAGUUGACGGUACCGGUGAGGAAGCACGGCUAACUCCGUGCCGAGCAGCCGAC